rnacentral:rRNA from 1 species
AGCGAACGUUAGCGGCGGGCUUAACACAUGCAAGUCGAGCGAGAAAGGGGCUUCGGCCCUGAGUACAGCGGCGGACGGGUGAAUAACACGUAGGUAACCUUCCUUUCAGCGGGGGACAACGGUCCGAAAGGACCGCUAAUACCGCAUACGUUCCCUGGGACCUCGGUCCUGGGGAGGAAAGGCCCGCAAGGGCCACUGGAUGAGGGGCCUGCGUAGCAUCAGCUAGUUGGUGGGGUAAUGGCCUACCAAGGCGAAGACGCUUAGCUGGUCUGAGAGGAUGAUCAGCCACACUGGGACUGAGACACGGCCCAGACUCCUACGGGAGGCAGCAGUGGGGAAUAUUGGACAAUGGGCGCAAGCCUGAUCCAGCCACGCCGCGUGAGUGAUGAAGGCCUUCGGGUCGUAAAGCUCUGUGGGGAGGGACGAACGGCGCCAUGAAGAGUGGCGAUUGACGGUACCUCCUUAGCAAGCACCGGCUAACUUCGUG